rnacentral:rRNA from 1 species
UACAUAGGGUGCAAGCGUUAAUCGGAAUUACUGGGCGUAAAGCGUGCGUAGGCGGUUACAUAAGUCGGGUGUGAAAGCUCCGGGCUCAACCGUGAAACUGCCGUUGAUACUGCUUUUCUUGAGUUCGGGAGAGGUUGAUGGAAUUCCAGGUGUAGCGGUGAAAUGCGUAGAUAUCUGGAAGAACACCAGUGGCGAAGGCGGUCAACUGGACCGUAACUGACGCUGAGACACGAAAGCGUGGGGAGCGAACAGG